AGCGUUGCUCGGAAUCACUGGGCGUAAAGCGCACGUAGGCGGACAUUUAAGUCAGGGGUGAAAUCCCAGAGCUCAACUCUGGAACUGCCUUUGAUACUGGGUGUCUUGAGUGUGAGAGAGGUAUGUGGAACUCCGAGUGUAG
rnacentral:rRNA from 1 species